AUCUGCGAUAAGCGCCGGUAAGGUGAUAUGAACCGUUAUAACCGGCGAUACCCGAAUGGGGAAACCCAGUGUGACUCGUCACACUAUCAUUAACUGAAUCCAUAGGUUAAUGAGGCGAACCGGGGGAACUGAAACAUCUAAGUACCCCGAGGAAAAGAAAUCAACCGAGAUUCCCCCAGUAGCGGCGAGCGAACGGGGAGGAGCCCAGAGCCUGAAUCAGCAUGUGUGUUAGUGGAAGCGUCUGGAAAGGCGCGCGAUACAGGGUGACAGCCCCGUACACAAAAGCGCAUGUGCUGUGAGCUCGAUGAGUAGGGCGGGACACGUGGUAUCCUGUCUGAAUAUGGGGGGACCAUCCUCCAAGGCUAAAUACUCCUGACUGACCGAUAGUGAACCAGUACCGUGAGGGAAAGGCGAAAAGAACCCCGGCGAGGGGAGUGAAAAAGAACCUGAAACCGUGUACGUACAAGCAGUGGGAGCACAGGUUUACCUGUGUGACUGCGUACCUUUUGUAUAAUGGGUCAGCGACUUAUAUUCUGUAGCAAGGUUAACCGAAUAGGGGAGCCGGAGGGAAACCGAGUCUUAAUUGGGCGUUAAGUUGCAGGGUAUAGACCCGAAACCCGGUGAUCUAGCCAUGGGCAGGUUGAAGGUUGGGUAACACUAACUGGAGGACCGAACCGACUAAUGUUGAAAAAUUAGCGGAUGACCUGUGGCUGGGGGUGAAAGGCCAAUCAAACCGGGAGAUAGCUGGUUCUCCCCGAAAGCUAUUUAGGUAGCGCCUCGUGAAUUCAUCUCCGGGGGUAGAGCACUGUUUCGGCUAGGGGGCCAUCCCGGCUUACCAACCCGAUGCAAACUGCGAAUACCGGAGAAUGUUAUCACGGGAGACACACGGCGGGUGCUAACGUCCGUCGUGAAGAGGGAAACAACCCAGACCGCCAGCUAAGGUCCCAAAGUCAUGGUUAAGUGGGAAACGAUGUGGGAAGGCCCAGACAGCCAGGAUGUUGGCUUAGAAGCAGCCAUCAUUUAAAGAAAGCGUAAUAGCUCACUGGUCGAGUCGGCCUGCGCGGAAGAUGUAACGGGGCUAAACCAUGCACCGAAGCUGCGGCAGCGACGCUGAUGCGUUGUUGGGUAGGGGAGCGUUCUGUAAGCCUGCGAAGGUGGCCUGUGAGGGUUGCUGGAGGUAUCAGAAGUGCGAAUGCUGACAUAAGUAACGAUAAAGCGGGUGAAAAGCCCGCUCGCCGGAAGACCAAGGGUUCCUGUCCAACGUUAAUCGGGGCAGGGUGAGUCGACCCCUAAGGCGAGGCCGAAAGGCGUAGUCGAUGGGAAACGGGUUAAUAUUCCCGUACUUGGUGUUACUGCGAAGGGGGGACGGAGAAGGCUAUGUUGGCCGGGCGACGGUUGUCCCGGUUUAAGCGUGUAGGUGUGUGUUCCAGGUAAAUCCGGUUCACUUUAACACUGAGGCGUGAUGACGAGGCACUACGGUGCUGAAGCAACAAAUGCCCUGCUUCCAGGAAAAGCCUCUAAGCAUCAGGUAACAUCAAAUCGUACCCCAAACCGACACAGGUGGUCAGGUAGAGAAUACCAAGGCGCUUGAGAGAACUCGGGUGAAGGAACUAGGCAAAAUGGUGCCGUAACUUCGGGAGAAGGCACGCUGACACGUAGGUGAAGUGAUUUACUCAUGGAGCUGAAGUCAGUCGAAGAUACCAGCUGGCUGCAACUGUUUAUUAAAAACACAGCACUGUGCAAACACGAAAGUGGACGUAUACGGUGUGACGCCUGCCCGGUGCCGGAAGGUUAAUUGAUGGGGUCAGCGCAAGCGAAGCUCCUGAUCGAAGCCCCGGUAAACGGCGGCCGUAACUAUAACGGUCCUAAGGUAGCGAAAUUCCUUGUCGGGUAAGUUCCGACCUGCACGAAUGGCGUAAUGAUGGCCAGGCUGUCUCCACCCGAGACUCAGUGAAAUUGAACUCGCUGUGAAGAUGCAGUGUACCCGCGGCAAGACGGAAAGACCCCGUGAACCUUUACUAUAGCUUGACACUGAACAUUGAGCCUUGAUGUGUAGGAUAGGUGGGAGGCUUUGAAGUGUGGACGCCAGU
rnacentral:rRNA from 1 species